GCCCUUAUAAGCGCCAAGGAGCAGGUAUCAGGCACAACUACUUAGCCCAAAACACCUUGCUACGCCACACCCACACGGGCACCCAGCAGUGAUAAAUAUUAAGCAAUGAGUGAAAGCCAAGCUAAGCUCGACUUAGUUAUGAUCAUUAGGGCCGGUAAACCUCGUGCCAGCCACCGCGGUUAUACGAGGGGCCCAAAACAGCAGAUACCGGCGUAAAUUGUGACUAGAGCACCUACUUAUUAAUAGUGAGAAGUAAACAAAAGCCCGACCGUAAAACCUGGGCCAAAAGAAACACACCUUCCCAAUUAUAAAGUAACUUGAACCCACGAAGACUAAGAAACAAACUAGGAUUAGAUACCCUACUAUGCUUAGUUGUUAAUACGACAUCAAAAAACACUGAUGUCCGCCAGAGAAUUACACGCGAAAAGCUUAAAACUCAAAGGACUUGGCGGUGCUCCGUAUUCGUCUUAGAGGAGCCUGUCCUAUAAUCGAUAACCCACGCUUUACCUCACCAUCUUUUGUUAAAAUCAGCCUAUAUACCGCCGUCGCAAACUUACCCCAUGAGGGCACAACAGUAAGUAAAAGAGUAACACACUAACACGUCAGGUCAAGGUGUAGCUAAUAAGAUGGAAGAGAUGGGCUACAUUUUCUAAAACAGAACACACGGCAAAGGACAUUGAAAUAAAUGCCCUCAAAGGUGGAUUUAAUAGUAAGAUAGAAGA
rnacentral:rRNA from 1 species